AAUUCACGAGCAGAUAAUAGAGAAAAAAAAUAACAGGAAACUCGAGAAGCGGAAUCACCUUCAACGAAUUUUCUCGGAAACAGCCACCGUCUGCAGGGAGAAAGUCGUUCGACCCGAUCACCAUCGCCACUACCCAUACUCUCCUAUAGAUAUAUGGGGUCGAGGGGAUAAGCCGCUGACAAAAGAAGAAGAAGAAGCUGGCGCGAGUGCAACAGCAGGAAUAAGCCGAGACGAAAGUUGGCCGGCGAUGCAGAAGAAGAGGCGACGAAGGCGGUGAAAAGGCCGCGUGGUAUACACAGGAGAAAAGUAGAUGCCAUAAUGCGGAGGGCCUGUUGCACGUGAUUGACCAGAUUUAUACAUAAGAAUGAGUAGAACGUGUUUUGGUAAAAGGUAACGAGAAUGGUAGCGUCUAACAAUUGGUGUAUAUCUAUUAUUACAGUCUAUUUUAAAUAAACCAGAUUUUUCAAACGAAUCAAUUAAGAAAAAA